rnacentral:lncRNA from 1 species
CCACCCCCAAAACACACCCUCCUCACCUUCAGCCCAACGCCCCGUUCCCACUCCUUAUCCUUAUCCUUCUUCUUCAGCCCCAUGUAUCCCGAGGGCCUCAACUCCCUCGGCCCCUGAAACCCACCAUAACAACUCUGUUCCCACACACCCUCCUCAAAUCCACCAUCUCCUAAAGCCCCUGCACUUAGAGGUCUCAGUCUCCUACCUGGCUCUCUUCCCUCAAGUUCCCAAAUAAAUAUAUCCUGACACAUC